AGGCUCCACGUUUGCCUGUGUCUUGUUUGUUUGUGUGCGUGUCAGCCGAGCUACGAAUGCUCUGAUUCUUCUCUCGUCCGAGAAGAUACGUAUGCAUAGGAUGCGAUAUCCUAGCGAGCAUGUGUCUUUUCCCCAGUCCGAACUACUUCGACUCUGAUGUCUAUGCCUGAUAGACUAAGUAGGCCCAGGAUACGAUGUC
rnacentral:lncRNA from 1 species